AAAUUGAAGAGUUUGAUCAUGGCUCAGAUUGAACGCUGGCGGCAGGCCUAACACAUGCAAGUCGAACGGUAACAGGAAGCAGCUUGCUGCUUCGCUGACGAGUGGCGGACGGGUGAGUAAUGUCUGGGAAACUGCCUGAUGGAGGGGGAUAACUACUGGAAACGGUAGCUAAUACCGCAUAAUGUCGCAAGACCAAAGAGGGGGACCUUCGGGCCUCUUGCCAUCGGAUGUGCCCAGAUGGGAUUAGCUAGUAGGUGGGGUAACGGCUCACCUAGGCGACGAUCCC
rnacentral:rRNA from 1 species